AGCNCUUUCUUUUUUAAAGACCUUCUUUGAAGGUAUACUUAAGGAGGGGCUUGCGACACAUUAGUUAGUUGGCAGGGUAAAGGCCUACCAAGACUAUGAUGUGUAGCUGGACUGAGAGGUUGAACAGCCACAUUGGGACUGAGACACGGCCCAAACUCCUACGGGAGGCAGCAGUAGGGAAUUUUCGGCAAUGGAGGAAACUCUGACCGAGCAACGCCGCGUGAACGAUGAAGUACCUCGGUAUGUAAAGUUCUUUUAUUAAGGAAGAAAAAAGAGUGGAAAAACUCCCUUGACGGUACUUAAUGAAUAAGCCCCGGCUAAUUAUGUGCCAGCAGCCGCGGUAAUACAUAAGGGGCGAGCGUUAUCCGGAAUUAUUGGGCGUAAAGGGUGCGUAGGCGGUUUAANUAAGUCUAUAGUUUAAUUUCAGUGCUUAACGCUGUUGUGCUAUAGAAACUGUUUUACUAGAGUGAGUUAGAGGCAAGCGGAAUUCCAUGUGUAGCGGUAAAAUGCGUAAAUAUAUGGAGGAACACCAGAGGCGUAGGCGGCUUGCUGGGACUUUACUGACGCUGAGGCACGAAAGCGUGGGGAGCAAACAGGAUUAGAUACCCUGGUAGUCCACGCCGUAAACGAUGAGUACUAAGUGUCGGGUAAAACCGGUACUGAAGUUAACACAUUAAGUACUCCGCCUGAGUAGUACGUACGCAAGUAUGAAACUUAAAGGAAUUGACGGGACUCCGCACAAGCGGUGGAUCAUGUUUGUUUAAUUCGAAGAUACACGAAAAACCUUACCAGGUCUUGACAUUUUCUUGCGAAGUUAUAGAAAUAUAAUGGAGGUUAUCAGGAAAACAGGUGGUGCAUGGUUGUCGUCAGCUCGUGUCGUGAGAUGUUAGGUUAAGUCCUAAAACGAGCGCAACCCUUGUCGUUAAUUGCCAGCAUGUAAUGAUGGGGACUUUAACGAGACUGCCAAUGAAAAAUUGGAGGAAGGUGGGGAUUACGUCAAAUCAUCAUGCCCCUUAUGAUCUGGGCUACAAACGUGAUACAAUGGUUGAUACAAAGAGUAGCUGAAACGCGAGUUCUUAGCCAAUCUCACAAAAUCAAUCUCAGUUCGGAUUGAAGUCUGCAAUCUCGACCUUCAUGAAGUUGGAAUC
rnacentral:rRNA from 1 species